UACGUAGGGUGCGAGCGUUAAUCGGAAUUACUGGGCGUAAAGCGUGCGCAGGCGGUGAUGUAAGACAGAUGUGAAAUCCCCGGGCUCAACCUGGGAACUGCGUUUGUGACUGCAUCACUCGAGUACGGCAGAGGGAGGUGGAAUUCCACGUGUAGCAGUGAAAUGCGUAGAGAUGUGGAGGAACACCGAUGGCGAAGGCAGCCUCCUGGGCCAGUACUGACGCUCAUGCACGAAAGCGUGGGGAGCAAACAGG
rnacentral:rRNA from 1 species